AGUGAACGCUGGCGGUAGGCCUAACACAUGCAAGUCGAACGGCAGCACAGUAAGAGCUUGCUCUUACGGGUGGCGAGUGGCGGACGGGUGAGGAAUACAUCGGAAUCUACUUUUUCGUGGGGGAUAACGUAGGGAAACUUACGCUAAUACCGCAUACGACCCACGGGUGAAAGCAGGGGAUCUUCGGACCUUGCGCGAUUGAAUGAGCCGAUGUCGGAUUAGCUAGUUGGCGGGGUAAAGGCCCACCAAGGCGACGAUCCGUAGCUGGUCUGAGAGGAUGAUCAGCCACACUGGAACUGAGACACGGUCCAGACUCCUACGGGAGGCAGCAGUGGGGAAUAUUGGACAAUGGGCGCAAGCCUGAUCCAGCCAUACCGCGUGGGUGAAGAAGGCCUUCGGGUUGUAAAGCCCUUUUGUUGGGAAAGAAAAGCAGCAGGUUAAUACCCCGCUGUUCUGACGGUACCCAAAGAAUAAGCACCGGCUAACUUCGU
rnacentral:rRNA from 1 species